rfam:Homo sapiens chromosome 2, GRCh38 reference primary assembly.
GCCAGGCGUGGUGGCUCACGCCUGUAAUUCCAGCACCUUGGGAGGCCGAGGCGGGUGGAUCACCUGAGGUCAGGAGUUCAAGACCAGCCUGACCAACAUGGAGAAACCCUGUCUCUA